GACGAACGCUGGCGGCGUGCUUAACACAUGCAAGUCGAGCGAGGCCCCUCCUUCGGGAGGGUGUCCUAGCGGCGAACGGGUGAGUAACACGUGGGCAAUCUGCCCCUAGCACUGGAAUAACCCCGGGAAACCGGGGCUAAUACCGGGUACGACCUAGCAGGGCAUCCUGCAUGGUGGAAAGAUUUAUCGGCUAGGGGAUGAGCCCGCGGCCUAUCAGCUAGUUGGUGGGGUAACGGCCUACCAAGGCGACGACGGGUAGCCGGCCUGAGAGGGCGACCGGCCACACUGGGACUGAGACACGGUCCAGACUCCUACGGGAGGCAGCAGUGGGGAAUAUUGCGCAAUGGGCGAAAGCCUGACGCAGCGACGCCGCGUGAGGG
rnacentral:rRNA from 1 species